CCGGACGUUUGCGUCCAGUCUGGAUCCUCUCCUCUCUUCAUUAUUGGGGUCGUGAUCGUGCACACAGAAAAAUGCACCGAUUCUGAUCAAAGCUGAGACGAGGACGCAUGACUUCCGUGCCGUGCCCUUUUGUUGGGGGCGGGGUGGGGACUCGAGCUAAUUAAAAAUUGGGUUCAUGGGCGGCAUUCAUUUCCUAGUUCACUGACUUUGAAUUUUUUUUUUUUCUCGAAUACCGUGCUUAAAGUGUUACUGUUACCUGCAAGCCUGUCUACACAGUGCAUGGACACUUCGACCCGCCUUACUACUCGGCCCGAAACCGGAUUUGUCCGCUCGGUGAAUGGAUCUACAGCUAGUAGACAAUGCACGAUCUCGGUAUUUGGUAUUUUGCAUUAUUCCACGGCAGCAAAACAAAAGCAGUCUUCUCAUCGCUGGUCCCAACACAAAAAGCAUUUUAACUAAACUUUUCCCACCCUCCCCCGGCCCUAAAAAAAAAGAAAAGAAAAGAAAAAGAAACUUGGGGGUGUGUGUGCGUGGAUAGUGCACACACUACUCAAGAUAAGUGAUUUCCCAUUGAGUUUGCAGCUCGGCGUUCAAUGCGUAGUAACUUUCCCUACCGAGGUUCACUGCGCAAUUCGGCUUUAAGGCUGGCAGCCGACUGCAGCCUGCAGGCCUUUGCCGCAAACGCGGGGAGCGGCCAGUCCCCAGCUGGGUUCCCUGCAGAGCGCCUCUUCCCCGCCCCCUCCCCGGGCGGCACCCGCGCUCGGCUUCGCGAACGUGAAGUCAGCGCGCCCUCUGCCGGCCGGCGCCUGCCCGGGCGGGGCGGUGGGGGCAGGGCGCCCGGAGCCCGCGCCGGGAGGCCUCCAGCCACCCCCCAUCCCCCCCGUGGGGGUCCUUUCGCGCCCACCCGCGGAGGGCCCGGGCCGGGAGGAGGCCGAGCGAGUGGAGGGAAAGUGCUUUCAGAGGCGUGCACUCCACCGCACGGGAGGCGGAGGAGGCUAAACCCGGCUGUCCUCGCAAGUGAACUUCGUCCUGAGGGGAAGCAGCGCUCUUCAUGGGACACGUGCGAGAGUCCACAGAAAAUCCAUUGCUUAAGAAUGACACAGUAA
rnacentral:lncRNA from 1 species